rnacentral:rRNA from 1 species
UGGGGAAUAUUGCACAAUGGGCGGAAGCCUGAUGCAGCGACGCCGCGUGGGGGAUGAAGGCCUUCGGGUUGUAAACUCCUUUCGACAGGGACGAAGCUUUUGUGACGGUACCUGUAUAAGAAGCACCGGCUAACUACGUGCCAGCAGCCGCGGUAAUACGUAGGGUGCGAGCGUUGUCCGGAAUUACUGGGCGUAAAGAGCUCGUAGGUGGUUUGUCGCGUCGUCUGUGAAAUUCCGGCGCUUAACUCCGGGCGUGCAGGCGAUACGGGCUGACUUGAGUGCUGUAGGGGAGACUGGAAUUCCUGGUGUAGCGGUGAAAUGCGCAGAUAUCAGGAGGAACACCGAUGGCGAAGGCAGGUCUCUGGGCAGUAACUGACGCUGAGGAGCGAAAGCAUGGGUAGCGAACAGG